CCUACGGGAGGCAGCAGUAGGGGAUAUUGCACAAUGGGGGAAACCCUGAUGCAGCAACGCCGCGUGGGUGAUGAAGGUUUUCGGAUUGUAAAGCCCUGUUGUUAGGGAAGAAAAUGACGGUAUCUGACGAAUAAGCACCGGCUAACUCCGUGCCAGCAGCCGCGGUAAUACGGAGGGUACAAGCGUUACUCGGAUUCACUGGGGGUAAAGAGCGCGUAGGCGGGGUAGCAAGUCAGGUGUGAAAUCCUAUGGCUUAACCACAGGACUGCAUUUGAAACUGUUAGUCUAGAGUAUGGGAGAGGUAGGUGGAAUUCUUGGUGUAGCGGUAAAAUGCGUAGAGAUCAAGAGGAAUACUCAUGGCGAAGGCGACCUGCUAGAACAUAACUGACGCUGAGGCGCGAAAGCGUGGGGAGCAAACAGGAUUAGAUACCCGUGUAGUC
rnacentral:rRNA from 1 species